UUACGGCCAUAUCACGUUGAAACACCGGUUCUCGUUAGAUGACCGAAGUUAAGCAACGUUGAAUCUGGUCAGUGCCUAGAUAAGUUACCGCUGGGGAAUACCAGGCGCUGUAA